AUUUUGAAUGAUGCUAACUCUUUGAAACAAUAUUCUAGAGUACACACUAACAAUUUGCCCUUGUUGACUAUCCUCCACAUAAAACAAUGACUAAUUACUCCACUAUCUAUAAAAGAAAAGAAUAGGGCACUUAAGUGGUCAGAAGUGCCAAAGCAUUUUUUUCACUUGUUGAGGGGUUGGUUUUAUUUUUAUAACGCUUAAGUUCUGAGUUUCACAUCAGAUGAAUUUUUACAAUGCUAAUUGUUAUGUUUAUCAAUUUUUUACGGUGCAGUUGUUACAUAUAUCUCUAUUCUAUUAUAAUUUUGACUAAGCAGGUUAUAAUAUUUAUAAAUUAAAUGAAUUAGGAAAUGAACAAUAUACGACGCCUAACCCAUACCAGUCACAACCCUCCCUUUAAGCCACUCAAGUUCGCACGCCGACGCUGGUCAGUGGAAAACAGCUAACAUUUUCAGUUUCCGGUUUUAUAGCAAAUCGUAUUGAACCGUGUAGUAUCUAGAUGGUACAGAGCUCCUGAGCUUCUGUUUGGCGCCAAACAAUAUGAUCAAGAUGGAUGACCAUGGCAAUGAGACAAGGCAGGCAGCUGGGGAGAGGAGUGAGCACGCUCCAAUGUCUUUGGAUUUUUCAGUUUUUGGCAUGAGGCCGCCAAAUAGACCAACUAUUAACAGGAGCAGAUGAGGGAGAUAUGCUCAAAAGUCAUACCCACUAUGUAUGAAGGAGCAGCUGAAACUCAUCAAAGUUGGAGCAUGAAGGUGCUUCUGUGAAGUUUCUUUUUUUUUUUUUUUUUUUUUUUGAGUUAGGCUCAAAACAUUAUGUAUGAAGGUUUUGGAUGAUAAUGUAUGAAGGUUUUGUGU